rnacentral:lncRNA from 12 species
GUGGCUGCACGCCCCGACGGCGGCUUAAGGGGGACGGCGAGAGGAGCGCGGUGAAGCGGGCGGUUCUGGGAGCUUGGAAGGCGCCUCUGACCAUCUGGAUUGGGGCUCCUGGAAGGAAAUCAGCCUUCCUGCCUCGGGGAAGCCGCGUGUGAGCAGGGCAGCUCAGAAAUUCGCAGCCUCCGAUUCCUG